CCUACGGGAGGCAGCAGCAGGGAAUCUUGCGCAAUGGGCGAAAGCCUGACGCAGCAACGCCGCGUGAGGGAAGAAGGCCUUCGGGUUGUAAACCUCUUUUGCUAGGGAAGAAGUAAGUGACGGUACCUAGCGAAUAAGCCUCGGCUAACUACGUGCCAGCAGCCGCGGUAAGACGUAGGAGGCGAGCGUUGUCCGGAAUUACUGGGCGUAAAGGGCGUGUAGGCGGCUGGUCAAGUUACCUGUGAAAUCUCCUGGCUCAACUGGGAGGGUGCGGGUAAGACUGGCGAUCUUGAGUGCAGCAGAGGAAAGUGGAAUUCCCGGUGUAGUGGUGAUAUGCGUAGAUAUCGGGAGGAACACCAGUGGCGAAAGCGGCUUUCUGGGCUGCAACUGACGCUGAGGCGCGAAAGCGUGGGGAGCGACCCGGAUUAGAUCCCCGGGUAGU
rnacentral:rRNA from 1 species